GGCCCUUCCUGCAGCUUGAAGUCCUACGGGACCUUAGCUGGUUCUUGUGAAAAUUUGAUUUAUUUAUAUCGUAAUCCUUUUAAAAAAACAUUAUUACUACAUGAUCUACUUUGCGAGAAAAAACUGGAUUUUUUGGCUUCGAGUCUCUCGAAGCAGAUUGCCUGCAUAUAACUAACGACAUAUUUUCUUAAUAGGAUGAUUGAUACGAUGACUGAAACAUAUACAUUGUAGCAAGGCUUCUGAGUGAGGAGUUGAGGAGGAGGACAUCCUAUGGGCAGCGGAGAAGAGACAGAUGGGGUCGCAGAUGGGAGGCAGGCAGCAAGGUGUUGC
rnacentral:lncRNA from 1 species